GUUUGACCUGUUUAAUGAACUUCAUUGUCAUUUAAUUGAAUCACUGGUGAUUGUCUUUAACAUGUUUGUAACAUGUGGGAUAUCAGUGAGUGAUUAUUGCUAUGGGUUGUCUGUUACUAUAACUUCAGGAGAUGCCACAUUAUUAUUAUAGUCCACACCUGGACCGUCUUGGUUAAUGGUGGUGGAAAUAGGUAGAAGUUGCCCCUAACCACUGAUACAGGGUCAGAUAUUAGUUCAUCCCCUUAUUGUUUAAGGUUAGAAUAAAGGGUUGAGUAAUCUGAUCCUAGAUCUGUGGUUAGGGGCGACUUCUACCUCAAGGUGUAAAACAUGAGCUUGUGGGUUGACAGGAACCAUAACGUGACCAUGAAGGGCUGUUUUAGCUUCAAAGAUGUUCUCAUAAAUGACGAGACAAACCUCUAAGUCAAUGACUAUGGCAUCAAAGGUAAGCCUAACGGCACAGCAAUAAAUGUUCUAUGUGUUUGCCCUGAGCACAUGAUGUCAUAGUAGUUCUUAUCUCACCACAGUAUAAUUGUAGCCUGUUGUAUCAUGUCCUUUUUCUGACAAAACAACAAUGUCAUUGUGGAGUUUUUCUGCCUUCUGAACUAACAGUCAAUCAGAAUACAUUUCUGACUUCCCGGAGACCAAUCAGGAGAGAGCUGGGCUGCCAUUGGAUCAGAUGAACACGAGACUAAGUACUUGAUCACAGCUGUGAGAAACCUUGACAAAAAGCUCACACUUCCACACACCUGAGGCCCAACACACACGCACGUGCACUCGCGUCAAGGCUGCUUAUGGAAAACCACUGCUGUCAUCCGUCAAGGCCAUUUGUGGAGCCCUGGGAUUUAACCAGCGACACCAGAGACAAAGAUAAAGGAAGAUUAUAGAAGCAGCACAACAAAAGAACCAGCAGACAAACUGAGUAACAGAGGACUGAAUAAGAUCAGGAAAUGGCUGUUGAUCCACAACCCUGAGGAGAUUUGAACAGAAACCAAAAUGUGUUCUGAUUCUCUCUCGCUCCCCCUCUCUCCUCUCUCCCUCUCUCUCUCUCUCCUUCCCUGAUUUGAUUUUAGCUUUGUAAAGGUG
rnacentral:lncRNA from 1 species